ensembl:lncRNA LINC02713 long intergenic non-protein coding RNA 2713
AUAUUCUCUCUUGCCACCCUGUGAAGAGUUGCCUUCCACCAUGAUUAUAAGUUUCCUGAGGUCUCCCCAACCAUGCGCAACUGUCUACUGUUAUGAAUUGCCACAACUUGGAGGCUUAGAACAACACAAAUUAGUACUCUCACAGUCCUGAAGGCUACAGCUCUGCAAUCAAGAUAUCAGCAAGGCCAUCAUUCCACUAAGGCUCUAAGGAAGAAUCCAUUUUUGCCUCUUCCUGCUUCUGGUAACCCCAAGCAUUCCUUGACUUAUGGCAGCAUAAUUCCCAUUCUGUUUCUGUCUUCACAUGGUUUUCUUUUCUGUGUCCACGUAUGUUCUUUUCUGCCUCUUAUAAGGACACUGUCACUGGAUUUAAGGUCCACUCUGAUUCACCAUGAUUUCAUCUUAAUUUCUACCUCAGUUACAUUUACAAAGAUUCUAUGUCAAAAGAAGGUCACAUUCUAGGGCACCUGGUAGACUUAAAUUCUGGAGGGAAACAAUUCAACCCACUGUGGUUGGCUUUAGAUUAUUUAAUCUGAUAAUCUGUUUCUAUUAAUUACAGUAUUUUGUUCAUUUAUAUUUAUGGAAGUUACAAAUAGAGUUAUAUUUAAACCUAAAUAACAUGAGCUGCUUUUAUUUGUCAUAUACAGGCAUAGCUUGAAGAUAUUUUGGGCUCAGUUCCAGACCCACUGCAAUAAAAUAAAUAUCAUACUAAAGC